CUUUCUGGCCUGCAGUGAGGGGAAAGCCAGAGUUUGAUCUCAGAGCAGAAAGAAUCCACAAAACAACCCACAGAGCCUAGAAGAAAAGCGCUGGAACAAAGUGUUUCUUAGCGACUCGCUCAGGACAGUGAUCAGAACCUGACACCCUGGUCCAGUUUGUUCGUUCAUAUCCUUUUAUUGCAGAAGACCAAGUUCUGACCAACCUGUAUUUUGAGGUCUGAUCCAGGGCAUCGCUUAGCAAUGCCCUGAGCUUCUGCGCCCUCCCUACCACCAUUCCCUUGGCUAAGUGACAUUUGGGGGCUGCCAGGGGGCAUGGGAGGAGAGCUGGGGAAAUUUUUAGGGCACCUGUCUCAACCAACUUCGGGCCUCUUCUUCCAGUGCCUUCCAUCUUGGUCUGUCGUCUCAGGCUCUCGCUCCCCAACUCUGGGCACCGUGGCUCCGUCGGUCACUCGGCCCUCCCCUGGCCCUUUACCCUCCUGGUCUGGGUAUCCAAGGACAGAGCCUCCAGCCUAGCUUUGGGAGGCCAAACAUCUCCCUUAGUCUCUGCCCCAAAAGCCACUUCCAAGCCUUCCUGAGAGCAUGAUGCUCCCUUAAGAUCUGCUGCCCCCAGCUCUCCUCCAGUGUCCAUAUAUGAAAUGGCCAUAGGAGAGGCCCCUGUGCAUUGUGUUCUCCACUAUUCAAACCCAUUCACUGAAGUUGUCCACUGCCUAUCAUCUCGAAGCCAAGAAAGCACGUGUUUCUCCUGACCUGCCAGAGGGGUAGUUGGUACUGCGAGCUGAGCCCUAGGACAGAGGCUUCAGAGGAACUAAUCAUCUCUCCCUUCUCUGCCUCUGUGCCUGGGAACGGAUUUCCACCGAUGCACUCUGAUGAAUACCGCAAGAUGUGGUCUGUUUACAGUCGGUGUCCUCACUGGAGUCCAGUCCUCUAGGACAAGCCCUGAGACCUGUUUGAGCAGAGCAGAGCCGAAAGCUGGGUGAGCAAGGGAGUUUGAGAAGGACGAUUGCAUGGGGAGCUUCGCUGGCGGCAGCAGGGAGAACAUGCCAUCCCUCAGUACCCCUGAAUGGAGCCUACUAUUCUUCCUCCAAGACUGAAUAAAAUGUAUUCUGUGCUCAGAUCCACGAGACAAAGAAGGAACAUAUCAACAAAGGCGGGGAAAGACGAAAAUGGUUGUUCAGCGAUUCAUUCACGCAAGCGUAGUUCAUCUCCAAGGCGUCCAAGGAAGCAACUGCGCACCAAAUCCCUUCCAACGCUGUCUGUAUCUGAGCCUCCUGUGAAAUAAUCCUCUUAAUGGAAUAUUUAAGAAAUCGGAUAUAAAUCACCAACCUUUUAUCUCACCUGAAGAUCCACACUCCAUAGGGUGGAUGGUGUAUAUGUCUAUCUGCAUAUGGAUGGUUGCAGGUGCCUUUGUGAGUGGAUGUUGCUAUGUUUUUAGGCUCCUUAUGCUUUUCAAUAUCUAAAUCUAUUUUUUUUCUGAAAUAGGGGUGUAAAAUUAUAAAUCUUAGAGAUCAGAGCCCAGAAAACAGCUGCACCUAGAGACAAUUAAAACACACAUCCCUAGGAAAAACCUUUUUUGUCACUUGCAACCAACAAAAAUGCCUAUUAUUAUGACGCGCUCAUAAAUAACUUGAGUUUGGCGUAUGCUUUUGUACCAAACAGA